ACGAACGCUGGCGGCGUGCCUAAUACAUGCAAGUCGCACGAACCGCGACUGAGUGCUUGCACUUGGUCAAGGUGAGUGGCGAACGGGUGAGUAACACGUGGGUAACCUACCUCAUAGUGGGGGAUAACAGUCGGAAACGACUGCUAAUACCGCAUAGGACAUAGGAUCACAUGAUCCAGUGAGGAAAGGUGGCGCAAGCUAUCGCUAAGAGAUGGACCCGCGGUGCAUUAGCUAGUUGGUAGGGUAAAGGCCUACCAAGGCGAUGAUGCAUAGCCGACCUGAGAGGGUGAUCGGCCACAUUGGGACUGAGACACGGCCCAAACUCCUACGGGAGGCAGCAGUAGGGAAUCUUCCGCAAUGGACGCAAGUCUGACGGAGCAACGCCGCGUGAGUGAAGAAGGUCUUCGGAUCGUAAAGCUCUGUUGUUAGAGAAGAACAGCGCAUAGAGUAACUGCUAUGCGUGUGACGGUAUCUAACCAGAAAGCCACGGCUAACUACGUG
rnacentral:rRNA from 1 species